CAACCGUGGGUGGUUCGAAAUGAUGGGCAGAGCUUGGGAACAGACUAGAAACAAGGCUGGAGGCUGCGGAGACUCACAUGGUAGCUGAAGCCACAAACUGAGAAACCCCAACAUUGAAGGCUGGCCACAUCACCAUUCCCUCAAGCCAAAAAUCUUACUGCUUCUCUCCAACCUCUUCUUGCCGCUCAUGCAACCAGCUCCACUGCAAUUCCCUCAAAACAACUUUCCAGAUCAAAGAGGAAGCCCGGCACCACGCUGCUGUGUUUCAACAGAGGCUGCUUAUGUCCGGGUCAUCCCAGAAGGAGUCCUGCGUUGGCGCUAUCGGGUCUGCCUGCCUGGGAACUGCUGCAGAGUUCUGCAUCCUUCAAGAGAAUGACGUCAGUGUAAACCUCACUUCUUUAAUGCCUCCACAGGCUUCUUGGUGCCGCUGUGGGGGGUCAGGGGUGUGGGGUGCACUUUAUCUUGACAGAUGUCUAGCAUUUCUCAUCUCCUAAUAAAGCUCUUGGAAAAGCCUUUAGAUCUUCGUCCACCCAAA